rnacentral:rRNA from 1 species
UUACCCUACGGGGCGCAGCAGUGGGGAAUAUUGCACAAUGGGGGAAACCCUGAUGCAGCAACGCCGCGUGAGUGAAGAAGUAUUUCGGUACGUAAAGCUCUAUCAGCAGGAAAGAAAAUGAUGGUACCUGACUAAGAAGCCCCGGCUAACUACGUGCCAGCAGCCGCGGUAAUACGUAGGGGGCAAGCGUUAUCCGGAUUUACUGGGUGUAAAGGGAGCGUAGACGGCAGCGCAAGUCUGGAGUGAAAUGCCGGGGCCCAACCCCGGACCUGCUCUGGAAACUGUGAAGCUGAAGUGCAGGAGAG